rnacentral:rRNA from 1 species
UCGGGAAUUUUGGGCAAUGGGGGAAACCCUGACCCAGCAACGCCGCGUGAAGGAUGAAGUAUUUCGGUAUGUAAACUUCGAAAGAAUAGGAAGAAUAAAUGACGGUACUAUUUGUAAGGUCCGGCUAACUACGUGCCAGCAGCCGCGGUAAUACGUAGGGACCAAGCGUUGUUCGGAUUUACUGGGCGUAAAGGGCGCGUAGGCGGUGUGUCAGGUCAGUUGUGAAAUCUCCGAGCUUAACUCGGAACGGUCAACUGAUACUGUCACACUAGAGUACAGAAGGGGCAAUCGGAAUUCUUGGUGUAGCGGUGAAAUGCGUAGAUAUCAAGAGGAACACCUGAGGCGAAGGCGGGUUGCUGGGCUGAUACUGACGCUGAGGCGCGAAAGCUAGGGUAGCAAACGGGAUUAGAUACCCCGGUAGUCCCUGAGCGGGCUGGCAAGGCGCAU